rnacentral:rRNA from 1 species
AUUGAACGCUGGCGGCAGGCUUAACACAUGCAAGUCGAACGAGUGGCGCACGGGUGAGUAAUGCUGGGGAAUCUAGCUUAUGGAGGGGGAUAACUACGGGACACUGUAGCUAAUCCCGCAUACCAUAGGAUGCGCCCAAGUGGGAUUAGGUAGUUGGUGAGGUAAAGGCCCACCAAGCCGACGAUCUCUAGCUGGUCUGAGAGGAUGACGAGCCCAAUGGGGACUGAGACACGGGCCAGACUCCUACGGGAGGCAGCAGUGGGGAAUAUUGCGCAAUGGGGGCAACCUGACGCAGCCAUGCCGCGUGAAGGAAGAAGGCCUUCGGGUUGUAAAGUUCUUUCGGUAGCGAGGCGUUAACUACAGAAGAAGCACCGGCUAACUCCGUGCCAGCAGCCGCGGUAAUUC